CGUGUCCCACUGGACAAUGUGUGGCACGCGCACACCCGCGCAAGCACGGAGAGCGGCGCACACUCAGCACCAAGAAUUAGAGAAGAGACUUGACACACACUAAACGAAACGUCUGUGCAUAGAGUCCUUUGCUUUCGCGCAGCCUUCACAAUUUCAGCAGCAGCGGCACUGUUUUGUCUCUGUGUGUGUGAAUGUGUCUGACGGGGUGUUGUCAUGCGUCGUGUCUGCACUCCACCUCACGGUCUCGGCGAGGGUAUUCAGGAACCGGUACCCCACAAGAAAGCGAAUAGAAACGCCGUUGUUCCCCUCGAUGUAGUGACAUCGCCGCCACCGGCGCAGGCAGAAGGUCAAGAGCACUCAUCGCCGUCGUCAGUGAUGCUCUCCUGCAGCAGCAACGACGCAGACUUGUUCUGUUUUCCUCACCGCAAUGGAGAUGCAGCCCCCACAUCGCCACCAUCGCAACCGCCCUUGACGCAGGAGCGACUCCUGGCGCUGCAGCAAUCUGCGUCGGACCGCAAUCUCGUAGCAUUGGCACCUGCGACUACGACGGCACUGAACACCAGCGAACGACGUACGGGCACUACGGUGUUGGGUGCCACUCAUCUCGGUGGCGACACCGAUCAGGUCAUCAGGCAGCGCCAGGAGCGGGUGAUGUCGUGGUUAGCCGGUUCGUCUACAACCCCUAACCCCCCGCUAGACAAUGCGGACGAUGGCGCCAUCGACGCAGCACUUCGCGGCUCGGGAGUACCUGACGGGUCACACACACCUCCCCGGCUAGUGGUCGCAUCCGUUCUCGCUCCUGAUGUCGCCUCUGCGGAGCCCCUCUUGCCCUCUUAUGCAGGCUCUGCUGGCGUGGUUCUCCGCUCUCCGACUUGCAUCGAGCGAUCCUCGCAUUCGGCUGUGGUGCCGGUGUGGUGCGCGCACGACACCCGAGCGCAGGCAUGCUACUCUGCCGCCGAGAGAGUCGAGGAGGGCGACGACAAGACAUCAUCAGCUGCACGGAGCGCGCCUCUGCGACAGACAAGGUUGCUGGAGAGCAGCCGCAGUUGCAGCGGCGCGUGCUGCACGCCCCCUCGCUCGUCACCACACCCGUGGAGUCCGUCGGCGCUACACACGUGCGACGCACAGGGGGCACCGGUAACUGCGUCAGACUGGCCGACAGUUUCCAUCGCUCGAGACUCGCCGAGGCAUACGCCAACGCCUCUGGCCUCGGUGCUGUUGCCUUUCCCGACUUCUCCGACACCGCGGCGGCUGUCCGUUGUAUGCGAAUCGACGAAGGACUGCUUCGCCCCAUCCCCAGCUCUGUCAGGGGCCUUACGCGAUGCAAGGAAUCGAGUAGCACGGCGGGAGCCGCCGCUGGCUCUCUCCGUCCAGGAAGCUGUCACGGCCGCCUCCGCACCGCGCGCCACCAGCAGUCACGGCGACGGUGAAGACCCUACCGCUCUGCGGGUGUGCACGCUCUCCGGCCGCACGCUGCGGGUAACGGCAGACCGGCGGUCGAGCGUGGCCGUGCUGGCGCAGCGCGUGGUUCAGUACCUGAAAUUGCGAGGAGCACAGGUGCAGCUGAAGUACGCCCAGACUGGCCUUGUAUUCGACGCGGGGACAUCGGACAUCAGCGGUGUCGAGACCUCUUCUGCGACGGCGAACAUGCGACUCUGUGACCUCCCGGAGUUUCAAUCUUCCGACGUGUUUAUUGUGCUCCUCCGGGCACAGCGGGGCGAGCCAUCACCGUUGGCGCUCUUACCGCCUCGACUGUCGGCGGCCGGGUGGCUAGCGGGCCGUUCCCCUUCUCCUAGGCCCUCGUCGGCGCCGUUUCCAGUGCGCCUGUCUCGCCGUCUCCAGUGCGCCUGUCUCGCCGUCAUGCCACCGCAGCGAAACGCGCACGCCAAGGCGCGCUGGCGCCGUCGCUGCCGGCCCUCACCAUCGCAGAGUCACCGCCCCCUCUGGUCAGUGGGCAUAGAGCUCGUGGUCUAUGUGGCGCUGCUUCUGUGCCGCCGCUGAAGCCUGAGCCGGCGUCUCUGGUCGAAGCAGCUCUGGCACCCGCUGUGCCCGGCUCAUCACACCCUCGCGCGGUGGUGCAUCUUCCGUCUUACACCCGAGAGAGGGGAAGCACAGGCGCCAUGACACCGGGAUGUGCUAGUUGAUGGCACAGCCGAUGUCCGUCGUGUCGCAGGCGCUGACAACCGCGCCUGCUGGGCGCGGGGUUGUGGUCUGUCAGCCAGGCGGCCGCGCAGCCUGCUGUUAGCACGUUUGCGGCGAACGACCCGGUGUGCGAGAAGGUGGGGCGCACGUCCGCUAGUUCCUAUGACUGCUUCCUCCCCCUCUUGGACAGAUCACGAGCACGCCGCAUGUAGCGCAGCAGCAUUCGCCGAAGUCGGAAAUGUGGCUGUGCGGCACCGCCGUUUUCUUUGUUCUUGUUGCGGUUUGGGGGAGCAGAGGCGUCCGUGAACGUCACGAUGCGUUCCUGCCUUGCCCGUUGUCUUCUUUUUUUUUUGAAAGAGGGGGCUACUUGUUGUGGCUACUGCUGCUUUUCUGUCCCGCUUGCCUCUCCACUCUCUGUUCUUCUUUCUUGUCUUUUUUUUUGCCGGGGAUGAGGGGUUGGGGUAGCUGGCAGGGAAAGGGACGUUGUUUCGCCGACUCUCACUUCUGGAGCGCUCGAGGUGUACCGUGGAGAAGGUGUCGCACAAGCCCCUCCCCACCCGUCUCUCUCUCCGUCUGUGGAUGCGUGUGUGUGUGUUCCUCCCGAUGCGUUUUCAU
rnacentral:misc_RNA from 1 species